CGUAGCUCCUGCUCACCUUUUCCCCAAAGUCGAGUCCCCUUUUCUCUUGCUUCCUCUGUCGAUCUUUGCGUUCGCAAAGCCCUCGAUUUUUGCCAAAUCAGUGCAGCCGGACGCUCAUCGGCGCUUUCAUCGGGCCCCUCCGCCGGUAGCCUGCAUCUGUGUUGCCUUCUCGCGGCCUGCUGCGCCUCCGCAUGAAAACCUUACCCGAGCAGGACGGGAAGGUGCCGCGGUAGUCUGAGUCAAAGAAAAUGGAGGAGUGGGGCAUGAGGGCAAGCCGGCGGCUUCGAUUCGCGUCCUACAGUCUUCAUCCGAAGGAAGGUGGCCGCACAUCUGGCGGGCCCACAGCGCCAGAAGGUGAGGAUCCGUCUCAUCAGCGGUGGUCCGGCGAAGGCCUGUCGGUGCAGCGGAACACGGGAAGUGGCGCUUCAUCGAUCCACCAUCAUUCCAUCCUUGUGGCCUUGUGCGUGGUAGCCGCACUCCUUUCAUCUCGCCGCCGCUCAGCCGGAGGUUGGCACAGAGUCCGCGUGACCAUAACUGGCUGCCAACCAGGAUUGACGGAGCACCCCACCCGUCACAGCGAGUAGGAAGAGAAGAUUUGCUGGGAUGCAUCAGAUGGUGGUCGUCCAUGCACAGUGACGCUGCUCUCCUGCCGUUUGGGCACGGGCACGGCGCCAGACAUCUACGGACCUGUCGACAGACCUCGUGUGUAGCCAAGCUCAAGUUCUUCAUAGGGCUGAGUCCACUGUCGCCCAUGACACCAUAUAAGUUCCUUGUGGAUGGGUAACAGUCACCGUAAUGCGUAUAGUGGUGCCAAGGAGCUUGUGAGCAUCGUCGUCGCAGAGCAGGUUAGCCCGAAGGAACACUGUUGAGGGCAUCAGGAAGGUCAUUGGUAGUGCAGCAGCUAAAGUAAACAGCAAGCAGCAAUCAGAUAUAUGCAAAUAUGAAGGAUCAAUGAAAUCAAACAAAAAGGAUGAGAAAUAGCAGUGACCAGGUGUUGGCGGCAAGUAGACACCGGUGUCUGAUGGGCCAAGGAGGAGCAAGGCUUCGGCAGGAGAUGCAUGAGUUUUCGGAAGAAGAGGGGCGUGGCUCUCUGAAAGUAUAUAGGCUGGAGGAACUGGACAUCGUCAUCAUGGCGCUCAAGCGAAAGAGAUCGAGCUUCAGAAAAUUUAUUAGAGCACGGGAGGAGAAAGGAAGUCGUCGAUCAAGCAGCGCCGCUGGCGCGGGGCUCUGCUCCGGCUGCGGCAUCCGCUCCACGGGGACGUCAUGGACCACACCGGAUGCACCUCGCCAGCAGACCAACUGGAGACGACCCUAAAGGUGGACGGCCGGGUAGCUGGUGGGGAACUCCAGACGGCAACCUCCAUGUGCGAGAUCGCCUGCGGCGCUGUACGGAGAGCUCCGACUUUCGCAAGGACCAAGGCGUACACCGGGAGGAGGCGGAGACAAUGGCGGCGAGGUAUGGCAAUUGCUCUGCCGGCGACCACACACACGCCCUCUCCUCUAGCUGGGAAAGACGUGGAAGAGGAAAGCGCGGAGGUUCUUCCACCACGCCGCUAGCAACCUCGGUAGGGAGAGAAAGGUGUGCUCCCUCGGGACGGAAAAGAGCGUCCCAAUGGUUGGCUCGGCAGGCGCCUAAGAGCAUGUACAUCGCGGGCGCUUAUUCCAGGGCGCUAGGAUUCCAAUCCCGGACGGUAGGCAGUUGUGACCAGCAAUCCUGGUCGAUGGGCGCUAAUUAUCAAGCGUGGACGCAAAUUGUUGAGCCGGCGCUUGUUGGCUUCAGCAGAGAGAUCAGGGUAGUUAAUUGGGGAAACAAGCGCCUCAAAAUUCCAUGCAUGCGUUGGAGUUGCAGCCGCUUAACCUGACUCAAGGAUCAAUUUCCAAUUCAAUCUCCACUUAAGCGUCUAAAUAGGCGCCCAUCAUUGGACAUGCCCUAACGGAGAAGAGGACGCCGGCCUCUGCGGGUGGAUAUGGACUGCCAAUCGUGGAGGUCCUGGAGUUUUCUUUGAGGGAAUCGUGGAGGUUCUGGAUUGUUCAACGUGGCAACGGUGGCACCGCUUUGACCGCUCUUGAUGGCAAAACAGGGCCACGAUCAAACUACUACACCGGGAAACCGGAAGAUAACCGGGAGAGAUAAGAAGGGGUAACCGGAACGGAGCCGGUAAACAUGGAUUUCCCACACGAAAAGAAAGGGCGAAGAAAACUCAAACACGCCCGUCUACAGUAAAAAAUGUAGACGCGUCAAUAUUUGAUUGGAUAAAAGAUAACCAGCACAGUACUUGAAACGCUGCCCUUCCGGCAAAGGGGUUUGGCUUUUAUAUAUGUAUAUGUAUGUAAUGUAUAUAUCUGGAGACAAUAGGAAAAAAUAAUGAUAC